ACAUACGACCAUACCCACUGGAAUAUACGGGAUCCCGUCCGCUCUCCCCUAGUCAAACCAGUGAGGGCCGAACUAGUACUCAGGUGGGUGACCACUGGGGAAUCCUCGGUGUUGUAUGNNNNN
rnacentral:rRNA from 1 species